CUGGACAGCUCGAGUAUGGAGUGAAGAUUGUCGAGAAUCUUCCAUUCUAUGGACUUAUUCUCAUCGAACUAAACUUACUGAUGGAGCUUGGAAUCCCAUUCGAUUUUCAUUGAUGCUAGUGACUCAAUGGGACGGCUGUCUUUCCUGUUGGGAUCUGCUACGAAGACGAAGUGCACCCAUUGUAACUGCACAGUUAUGUGAUGAACCGUUAUUACGUCUUCGACCUCAUG
rnacentral:misc_RNA from 1 species